rnacentral:rRNA from 1 species
UACGAAGGGGGCUAGCGUUGCUCGGAAUCACUGGGCGUAAAGGGUGCGUAGGCGGGUCUUUAAGUCAGGGGUGAAAUCCUGGAGCUCAACUCCAGAACUGCCUUUGAUACUGAAGAUCUUGAGUUCGGGAGAGGUGAGUGGAACUGCGAGUGUAGAGGUGAAAUUCGUAGAUAUUAGGAAGAACACCAGUGGCGAAGGCGGCUCACUGGCCCGGUACUGACGCUGAGGCGCGAAAAGCGUGGGUAGCAAACAGG